rnacentral:rRNA from 1 species
UACGUAGGGUGCAAGCGUUGUCCGGAAUUACUGGGCGUAAAGGGCUCGUAGGCGGCCAACUAAGUCAGACGUGAAAUCCCUCGGCUUAACCGGGGAACUGCGUCUGAUACUGGAUGGCUUGAGGUUGGGAGAGGGAUGCGGAAUUCCAGGUGUAGCGGUGAAAUGCGUAGAUAUCUGGAGGAACACCGGUGGCGAAGGCGGCAUCCUGGACCAAUUCUGACGCUGAGGAGCGAAAGCCAGGGGAGCAAACGGG